AUUUGGUUCGCUCCCCGGAGCGAUUAAAAGGGAACGGGGUGGAAAUCCCCGGCUGUCCCGCAGCUGUAAGUCGUCAGUUAUUGCGGCACAAACAACGAGUCACUGAGAUUUUCGGGAAGACGUUUGACGCCGGACGACAAGCCAGAAGACCUGCCUCAUGCA
rnacentral:ncRNA from 1 species